ensembl:lncRNA
GUCCACUGCAUAGGUUCCCAGAAAAUUAACGAAUAAUUCGGGACUAAAACGAAAAACUUAGGAAUUUCUUAGAUAUGAAGCUAUUAAAGGGAAAGUCGGCAUUGGAGUGGUAGUCUUGAUUUUGUACACUCUGCUUAGUCUGUUCUCCACUAGGGAGGAAGUAUUCCCAGAGAGACAGUGACCAUGGCAAGCACUUCUCAAAGGACUUUGAAUGGUGCUCAACCAGAAAAGCAUCUGCCCAAGCCUUCGAAAAGACAAAUUGUCAGUUUUGUGCAACUUACACUGAAAUUGUCCACACCGAUAGCCCAAGCUUAAACUCUGUGCCCUUUUAAGCAAGCAGAAAGGAUUCUAGUUUCCCCUACCAUUCCCUGACCGAGAUCCAAAGAUCACAGCAAAUGGAUUCGCUUUUUCCCUUUCGCUUUCUCUGCCAGGGCGGAGGGAGAGAACCUGGGGUAAGGAUAUAUUGGCAUUCUUGAUACUACACUGCCACCCAGCGGAAUACCUUUGCUGUUCCUGUCUACACUUCCAAGUGCUUUUUCUCAGCAGAUGUGAAGAAUUUGCAAGUAUGUUGCCGAUGUAUCUGCUCUGAGGCUGCUGACUCUUGGGAAGAAAGAAGUUCUCCUGCCUGACAAAUAUGGCUGCCACUGGACAUUGAAGCCGGCACUGCCUAAGGAAUUCUGGUUAUUACUCAGCUGUACAGCAAGCUUCUGAUGCUGGCAAUGGUGAGGUCCCCACCUGUGAUCUGGACGUCUCCUGGACUUGCAUCUGUUACUUCAGUUUUUAUAAGAGUCCCC